GAUGUAGGCGGCUUGGCAAGUGUCCCGUGAAAUCCCACGGCUCAACCGUGGAACUGCGGGGCAAACUGUCUGGCUUGAGGUCGGUAGAGGCGCCUGGAACUCUAGGUGGAGCGGUGAAAUGCGUAGAUAUCUAGAGGAACGCCAGUGGCGAAAGCGGGGCGCUGGGCCGAUUCUGACGCUGAGAUCCGAAAGCGUGGGGAGCAAACA
rnacentral:rRNA from 1 species